GAUGAACGCUGGCGGCGUGCCUAACACAUGCAAGUCGAGCGAUUCUCUUCGGAGAAGAGCGGCGGACGGGUGAGUAACGCGUGGGUAACCUGCCCUGUACACACGGAUAACAUACCGAAAGGUAUGCUAAUACGGGAUAAUAUGAGAGAGUCGCAUGGCUUUCUUAUCAAAGCUCCGGCGGUACAGGAUGGACCCGCGUCUGAUUAGCUAGUUGGUGAGGUAAUGGCUCACCAAGGCGACGAUCAGUAGCCGACCUGAGAGGGUGAUCGGCCACAUUGGAACUGAGACACGGUCCAAACUCCUACGGGAGGCAG
rnacentral:rRNA from 1 species